AUGCUGGAUCGCCUCACGCUUCAGGAUGAUGAACUAGAUGAUCUUGUAUGGGAAGAGGAGCCUGAUACGGCGGAAGUCCGGCCAAAGUGGCUGGCACUGUGCCGCCUACUGACAUCAAAAUCCUUUAGCCAGAGUGCUUUUAUUGGGGAUAUGAAGGCUGCUUGGAACCCGGCCCAACCGAUGGUGUGGAGGAGAAUCAAUCCGAACUUAUUUUCUAUCCAGUUCAAUUGUUUUGGUGAUUGG
rnacentral:rRNA from 1 species